rnacentral:lncRNA from 1 species
AAUGCUCAGAUUAUGAAGUAGUUUUUCUCUGGGACCAGGAAUGAUUAACUAGGAUGGGCAUUUGGGGUCACACUGGAUGUUCAGUAUUAAAUCCCACCCCAUCCAUAUGCCUGGAAUUAAAGUGAAAUUAUUCAGAUGGGAUCCUCUUCUCAUAUCUCAAGAGAUUUGGAUGGCUGAAGUAAAGUGACAUCAGGAAUUCAGCAUUUUGAGAAUAUCCAAUUUUCCAUGUAAACAAGAGAAGAAAAUGGGCAUGUGCUCCUACUGGUAAGGCUCUUCUUACUAGCCAUCACUUAAAGCAGUGUUAUUUCUGAUACCAGAACUACGCACCUCCACAGUGAUCUGACCAUUAUUUUCUUUGAAUUUUCCUAGAACAUAAAUUUAAGACCCUUUAAAUAAC